GACGUAGGGGGCGAGCGUUGUCCGGAAUCAUUGGGCGUAAAGAGCGCGUAGGCGGCCCGGAAAGUGGGGUGUGAAAACCCGAGGCUCAACCUCGGGCGUGCAUUCCAAACUCCCGGGCUCGAGGCAGGUAGGGGAGAUCGGAAUUCCUGGUGUAGCGGUGAAAUGCGCAGAUAUCAGGAGGAACACCGGUGGCGAAGGCGGAUCUCUGGGCCUGUUCUGACGCUGAGGCGCGAAAGCUAGGGGGAGCGAACAGG
rnacentral:rRNA from 1 species